AGUGAACGCUGGCGGUAGGCCUAACACAUGCAAGUCGAACGGCAGCACAGUAAGAGCUUGCUCUUACGGGUGGCGAGUGGCGGACGGGUGAGGAAUACAUCGGAAUCUACUUUUUCGUGGGGGAUAAGGUAGGGAAACUAACGCUAAUACCGCAUACGACCUACGGGUGAAAGCAGGGGAUCUUCGGACCUUGCGGGAUUGAAUGAGCCGAUGUCGGAUUAGCUAGUUGGCGGGGUAAAGGCCCACCAAGGCGACGAUCCGCAGCUGGUCUGAGAGGAUGAUCAGCCACACUGGAACUGAGACACGGUCCAGACUCCUCCGGGAGGCAGCAGUGGGGAAUAUUGGACAAUGGGCGCAAGCCUGAUCCAGCCAUCCCGCGUGGGUGAAGAAGGCCUUCGGGUUGUAAAGCCCUUUUGUUGGGAAAGAAAAGCAGCAGGUUAAUACCCCGCUGUUCUGACGGUACCCAAAGAAUAAGCACCGGCUAACUUCGUG
rnacentral:rRNA from 1 species